AACGAACGCUGGCGGCAGGCUUAACACAUGCAAGUCGAACGCCCCGCAAGGGGAGUGGCAGACGGGUGAGUAACGCGUGGGAACAUACCCUUUCCUGCGGAAUAGCUCCGGGAAACUGGAAUUAAUACCGCAUACGCCCUACGGGGGAAAGAUUUAUCGGGGAAGGAUUGGCCCGCGUUGGAUUAGCUAGUUGGUGGGGUAAAGGCCUACCAAGGCGACUAUCCAUAGCUGGUCUGAGAGGAUGAUCAGCCACAUUGGGACUGAGACACGGCCCAAACUCCUACGGGAGGCAGCAGUGGGGAAUAUUGGAAAAUGGGCGCAAGCCUGAUCCAGCCAUGCCGCGUGAGUGAUGAAGGCCUUAGGGUUGUAAAGCUCUUUCACCGAUGAAGAUAAUGACGGUAGUCGGAGAAGAAGCCCCGGCUAACUUCGUG
rnacentral:rRNA from 1 species